AAAACAUGACUUUGGUCUCCGUCCUCAUCUGGACUCUCCUCUGCUGCUGCUUCACAGAGUCCAGAGGCCAGAUCACAGUGACUCAGCCUGGAGCAGUGAGCUCUGCUCUGGGAGCCUCCGUCUCCAUCAGCUGUAGGGUCAGUCAGAAGGUUGAUGAGGAUUGUAACUCGUAUUUCCCAUGUCAAUCCUGGUACCAAAAAAGAGAUGGAGAAGCUCCUAAACUCCUCAUUUACACUGCUAGCACGCGAGAAUCAGGGAUUCCAGCUCGUUUUUCUGGCAGUGGAUCUGGGACUGACUUCACUCUGACCAUCAGUGGAGUUCAGGCUGAAGAUGCAGCAGUUUACUACUGUCUGGGUGGAAACACUGUCAACAGUCAGUAUGUGUUCACACAGUGA